UUUUUAAUCUCCAAAGUUGUGAAUAGAAAUACAAAAUAAUACACAUAUGGUUUUAUGAUAUUCCAUAAGAUCUUUAAAACAAAUUUAAGCAUCUACCACCAAAUACGAUAAAGAAUCAAUUAAACUAAUAGAUUUUGUAGAUAUUGGUAUCUACUGAUUUUGCUAAGUUACACCUUGGUAUAUCUGCACCUUCAGUAGCGGUUACAUGACUAAGACAACAAAUGAAAUAUGAAAAGACAAAUUACCUUGAGAUAUGGCGUAAAUUGCAAUAGAUAAGGAAUUCAGAAUGGAGAGACCUUUGUUUUCAUGAACGUCAAGUUUUUAGUGAUUCCCGGAGAGCAAAACCAAGAGCUUCAAUUUGAAGUGGUGAGAGCUUGUCGAGCAAGUUCAAACGUCAGAAAAAUAGCCUUUCAGUUGACGUACAAGCUGCAGGAGAUGCCAACAAUUUAUAUCAGCCUUCGAAACUCGGUGGAUAAUGGGUCCACCCUCUACCCUUCUCCACUUAAAUACCAGGCUAUGCUUUGCAUGUUGUGGGGGCUUGAACCUUUGACCUGGGACGCAAAUCCACCACCUUUUUCCACUUGAGCUAUGCCCUCAAUUAUUUUAAUGUUAAAAGGAAAAAAAAUAGAGAUUAAAAUGAACCAUGUUGAAUUGAAUACUAUAAUUGAAAAAAUUGUCGGAUCUGAAGAUAAUAUUCGUUUGUCUUUACACAAAGUCAUCUGAAACACAAAUAUUUAUAACUUAACCCAAUAGUUAAGAUGAGAAUGUGAAUAUGGAAGCAAGUGAGAAAGAAGUACACUAUUUAUAUUCCUUUUUGUCUCAUUUUAACCAACUUUAUAAUUAUUUGAGCAAAGUUGUGAAUGAGUCUGCUUCAAGCAGUAGUUGUUUCUUUUCAAUAGUCUGUGAAUCUUGCAUAUAUUAUGCCAUUCAACAACGUUAAUCUAUUUCUUAUCAGUUUCAGUCUCCCUUUCCUCAAAAUUUAAACAACAAGAACAUUUAAAAUCUUUAGGAGAUAUACUAAAGAAUUGUUCCUUUUACAUGUUAGUGGCUUCAAUUUUUCUCCUGUAGAUGCAAAAACUCCAGUAAAUUCAAGGAAAUUUAUUCAUGAUGUUAACAGUUCAUAGACCAAAAGGACUUACACACAGCACAAAACAGUCCAAAAAACAUCAUAAGCACAACUAUAAAACAGAAUUUCUAACCUCUCUGGAGUUCAAAUUAAUACUCAUAGAACCAAACUUAAUUUGUCUAUAUUUCCCCUAUUUUAAGGUUUCUUAGGCUCAGGCGGUGGCAAUUUAAAAUAGUAAAAUUUCUCAACUGUCCUCGCCAUUCUCAAAUACUUUACUCCUUUCUAGUCGGCAAUUUCUCAAAUACCUCUAGUGCAAGUCUGGAUGUUGUGUCUAAAUCAUAAACUUAAAUUCAUCCUUAUUGCACUUUAAAAGAGUUGAAACAUGUGGAAAUUAAGAUUAAAUCAUGAGAAGCGCGAAACGAAGCACGAAAAACAGAGGCAUAAUAUAUCACCAAUUACGUUUGAAUUUCAGACGAAAGCAAGCUAAUCUUCCAUGGAAGAUUUAAAACAACAUAAGGAGACAUUCUUCACAGUGGAAACCAACACAAUCUUAAUCCAGAUAACACUGAUAUUCAGAAAAGGUUGGAUAAACAAAGGAAAAAGUCAUUUUAGUCAGCUAAAGUCAACCCGGUCCAAGAGCUUCUUAAUUACCCCAACCAGGCAUGGUACCAAACCAGUAAAGGCAUUCCAAAAUUUCACAUAGAAAACAUGUUUGUAUUCCUCAUUUCAAAAAGAUAUGAAUAUAAAUUAAUCCUUUUCCUAAACAACCAAUCGUUGUUCCAACCUCACCCCCAUAAAAAGAAAACAGAAAACCACUGCCCAACAACUUUACAUAAUUUAAACAAUUUCAAUACGGCAAAACUGGAAUUGUGAAAACAAAAUUAAUAAUAACGCGUGCAACCCCCAAAAAAAGUUUGGAUAGUUAAAGAAAAAAGCUAGACAAAACAGAACUGACCGUAUAAUUGUACGUAAAUUGAGCAGUGCAACAGAGAAGACUGCAAUUAAUGAAAAAGGGAGGAGAAAUUGAGACAGUAUUAGAAUACGAAGAAAGAAACUGUAGAGGCAGGUCGUUGAG
rnacentral:lncRNA from 1 species